GCCUGGAUAGCUCAGUUGGUUAGUGUGUUGUGCUGAUCACGCCAAGGUUGCAAGUUUGAUCCCUGUAUGGGUCGGCUGCA